rnacentral:lncRNA from 1 species
GGGGAAACCAAAUCGCAUAAGGAGCUCAUUGUCACUUUGCAGUACAUACCAUGAAUGAAGCCACGGAAGCGAACACAGGGUAGCUCCUUAAGCUGUCGAUGUCGGUUUUCCUGGGUUUCUACCGCCACAGAAUUCUGUUCUGCUGAGCAAGACAGGAAGUCCUCUGAGCUGAGAAAACUUCAAGAAGAGAAAUUUUCACUGGAAUAAAUUCGACAGAAAACAGUAUCCAUUUAAGGAAAUACCCGCAAAGAAAAUGCUGUCUUUCCCCUCCUAUUGGAUGGGUCAUUCAUCUCUAAUGCAAAGGUCUCUACAUGCCGCCUUAACAUAAAACAGGUUAGAGCCACUGGGACAUAAGACCUGCUGAGAGGCAAGUGCAGAACUCCAUUUCCAUUAUCCACCUGUGCAGCCAGCCAGGCCUUCAGGCAGGACCCCUCCUCUCUGCAGUCUGAUAAUGUAAAAGAAAGCCAGGCUUUACAGUAAUUCAAGGAACUUGGACUGCAACCCAGUUCUUGGGAAGAGCACUUGUCUAGAAUAUACCUCCUCCAAAAGAAACGAAAGCAGAGGGUGUUUUGAACAAAAAGGAAAACUCUGCCUGGUGGAACUUGGUGAAGACUGAGCGGGAGUAACUAUGCACAAAGGCAUGGUUGUGAGUGAAGAGCCCUCCUGGCUCACCAAUGGAUGCUCUGUGGCUGAGAGAAUGAAAUGGGAGAAUAUUUAGAGGCAGUCCAAGACGGCUGCAAGGAUUUUUCCACUCAAGUUCCCU